CAGCCGCCACGGUAAUACGAGGGGGGCAAGCGUUGUUCGGAUUUAUUGGGCGUAAAGGGUGCGCAGGCGGCUAUGCAAGACAGAUGUGAAAUCCCCGGGCUCAACCUGGGAACUGCAUUUGUGACUGCAUGGCUAGAGUACGGUAGAGGGGGAUGGAAUUCCGCGUGUAGCAGUGAGAUGCGUAGAUAUGCGGAGGAACACCGAUGGCGAAGGCAAUCCCCUGGACCUGUACUGACGCUCAUGCACGAAAGCGUGGGGAGCAAACAGGAUCAGAUACCCCCGUAGUCCCUGUCUCUUAUAA
rnacentral:rRNA from 1 species